UAAUACUGGUUCCUUCUGCAAGUACGGAAAGGUUCACUGCUAGAUGUCACAUGUAUUUUAUUAAGUUGUAUUUUUGUAGAAUGUCUUACCUUAAGAUUUAAAAGGCGUCAUCUGUGCUUAUAGGUAGCCCUGCUUAUUUCCCUUCUGUGGCACCUAGCACAUAUACAAGAAAUGCUGUUCCCUGGUUGUACCUGGCUACUUGCCCUGUGCUAACAGCAAAUGUCUUCAGUUUCAAUUCUUGAUUUUCAUCAUCUUUUAGGACCUUGGUGAGCCUCAUUUCUUUUAUGUGCUACAUUUAAGUGCCUGCUGUCUCCUUUCUCAGCAAGCCACCCAUGACAGGACACGUGUAGGUGCAGAUUGACUGGCAGGAUGACGCCCG